rnacentral:rRNA from 1 species
UGGCGGACGGGUGAGUAACGCGUGGGUAACCUGCCUCACACUGGGGGAUAACAGUUAGAAAUAGCUGCUAAUACCGCAUAAGCGCACGGUUCCGCAUGGAACAGUGUGAAAAACUCCGGUGGUGUGAGAUGGACCCGCGUCUGAUUAGCCAGUUGGCGGGGUAACGGCCCACCAAAGCGACGAUCAGUAGCCGGCCUGAGAGGGUGAACGGCCACAUUGGGACUGAGACACGGUCCAA